rnacentral:rRNA from 1 species
GAUGAACGCUGGCGGCGUGCCUAAUACAUGCAAGUCGAGCGAACGGACGAGAAGCUUGCUUCUCUGAUGUUAGCGGCGGACGGGUGAGUAACACGUGGAUAACCUACCUAUAAGACUUGGAUAACUUCGGGAAACCGUAGCUAAUACCGGAUAAUAUUUUGAACCGCAUGGUUCAAAAGUGAAAGACGGUCUUGCUGUCACUUAUAGAUGGAUCCGCGCUGCAUUAGCUAGUUGGUAAGGUAACGGCUUACCAAGGCAACGAUGCAUAGCCGACCUGAGAGGAUGAUCGGCCACACUGGAACUGAGACACGGUCCAGACUCCUACGGGAGGCAGCAGUAGGGAAUAUUCCGCAAUGGGCGAAAGCCUGACGGAGCAACGCCGCGUGAGUGAUGAAGGUCUUCGGAUCGUAAAACUCUGUUAUUAGGGAAGAACAUAUGUGUAAGUAACUGUGCACGUCUUGACGGUACCUAAUCAGAAAGCCACGGCCAACUACGUG